ACAGAGCCGCGGCACCAUGGCACCUGCUGGACGCCCGGGGGCCAAGAAGUGUCUUUGGGGCCUCUACUGUUACAACACCAAGAUUAUCACACACUAAUCCAUGUGAAUGUGUACCUGGGAGUUAAGGUGUUAAUGGGAAGGAACUAAUCUCACCUCUCUCCUCAGCUAGCAGGGGAUUUUGGAGCGCCUGGAGAGUGGGGAGGUUGUGAUUGGAGAUGGCAGCUUUCUCAUUACUCUGGAGAAGAGAGGCUAUGUGAAGGCUGGGCUCUGGACUCCAGAGGCAGUGAUAGAACACCCAGACGCAGUUCGUCAACUUCACAUGGAAUUCUUGAGAGCAGGAUCAAAUGUCAUGCAGACUUUUACCUUUUCUGCCAGUGAGGACAAUAUGGAAAGCAAGUGGGAAGAUGUAAAUGCUGCUGCCUGUGACCUCGCCAGGGAAGUGGCUGGCAAAGGUGAUGCUUUGGUAGCAGGGGGGAUCUGCCAGACAUCAAUAUACAAAUACCAGAAGGAUGAAGCUAGAAUUA
rnacentral:lncRNA from 1 species